rnacentral:snRNA from 1 species
CCAGCUUCCUUUGCCAUAAUGGCUUAGAUCAAGUGUAGUAUCUGUUCUUUUCAGUUUAAUCUCUGAAACUGUCCCUACAAUGGACAAAAAACGAUUAAACCCAAUUUUUACAACGCGAUCCCGGGAUGCGCUGGUGGCUUGCCCUCACCGUCCUGGGAUAGAGUGUCUCUGGUAUCACACUGCUUCCAGAUGAUGCGAACGGGC